UGGCCGGCGUCUGGCCGCCGGCGUGGGCCUUGCCGUGGCUAACCGCCGUCUCCCUCUGCAGCUGAAGAAGAAGCCCAAGAUCAUGCAGCAGCAUCUUGAUUAUUGUUUCCCUGGUUUAUGGCUAUCCAAGAUAACUCCUCGAUCCUACAAAGCCAAUGAAUAAGACAUGUGUUCUUAUAGUCCGUAUACAUUGUGAAGGUUGUAAGGAUAGGUCAGGAAGAAGGUGCAGAAGGUUCAAGAUAAAAAGAAGAAAGGAACAAAAAGAGGAAGGCACUUUGAUAGAGAUUCUCGAGCUACUAAUCCAGAGGUUCGUUUGGAGUCUCUAACUAGGCAAUAUGAAUGAAGUCUCUAAUACUCUAACUUUAUUUUUGUCCUGAUUUGAUAAUGUUGUUUGUGCAGGUCUCAAUUUGGUGUGAUCUCACUGUAGUUGAAGACAGCUGUAUUUGUUCACCUCUUUUCGGCAAAGGAGAUUUGAUGGGGAUCAAAGAUUUUGUGGCACACGA